GUACUUGCUUUGGCAGCACAUACACUAAAAUUGGAAUGAUAAAGAGAACAUUGGCAUGGCCCCUGUGCAAGGAUAACCUGCAGAUUUGCGAAGCAUUCCAUAAAACA